CUCUUCCGAUCUCAGGCUUUCUGUUAUCAGUGUGUUUGGAACUAUUUCUUCUCUCUGAUGGGGAGGAGCACAGAGCUACUGUUCUCCUUCGUAUCCAUCCCCUUCAGCGAUACCUGGUAACCUAUUCACCCUGUACCAAAGUGCCGUUGCUCUUAAAUGGUUAUUUAAUAAUAAUUAGGUCGGUGUUUAUUUCUUCUAUUUCACACGUGUACAAGAAGAGUGUAUUAUACACAUGUGAAUUGGAAAUUUAUAUAUAUAUAUUUUUUUUUUGCACAUCCCAACCUCCCCCUGAGACAUAGCCUCGGAGAGCGGGGUCAAGGCCUGGGAUCAGCCAUUAUUGAUGGCGAGCCUGGAGCAAUUAGAUUUUAGUUCCUUGCUCAAUGGCACGUCGACAGAUUCCCCCCCUCCCCGGUCAUUUCGGGGAUUCCAGCCAGCGACCUUUCGGUUACUGGCCCAACAGUCUUAACCCGCUAGGCUUCCUGCCUUUCAGUGUUCCUCCUUAAUGUACUGUAAGCAGGGCUUGAUGCAGGGCUUGAUGCAGGGCUUGAUGCAGGGCUUGAUGCAGCCAAUGCUACCUGCUUGUUUAGAAGUCUGCUUCUCAGAAGCAAUGUGCCGUUAACAGUGUGCUAUAGCUUGAAAAUAAAUACAUGUGAGACUGGAUGAAAACAUAAUGAUGUUUGUUUCCAACAUUAGGGCUGUUUUCAUAAAGAAGUUAGAUUUAGUAUCGUGUUUUUCUUCCUUGCUUGUGUCUUCCCCGACCCUAUGAGUUACCUGUGUUGCGUCCCAAAUUGGCACCCUAUUCUCUGUAUAGUGCCCUAUAUUUGACCAGGACUCAUUGGGAAUAGGGUACCAUUGAGAACUAAAAGUUACUUAGUUAGAGCUAUUGAGAUUAUCGCUGCAAAGCGGAUGCUAAUUUCCUACUUUAAUCUCAAUGUAAUAAACUGUCACAUUCCAAUAUGCAGAGAAACUCUGUAACAAGCCAAAUAAUACACCAACAAGUGGAUUUUGUAAACUAUUUUUGAAUGAUGGUUUCUUUUUCACACGUUGAUGUAAAAUGGGUCAUUCCGUAUGACAUUCUUACAACAACAACAAAAAAUGUUUUUCCUAAUGCUGUUUGUGUUGUUGUAGAAUAUUGAAAUGGAAGAGUUAAUUGCAUCCAUACCAAAGCCAAAUCUUUUGUCACUCAACAUUAUUAUAUUCUUCAGUUUAGAUGAAGUUAAACCAUCUCAAAGUGUUGUCAGGUCAGUGUCCAUAUUGUGAUGCUCUCUUUAAGCCAAAUACACAUAAAGUAAGUGCUGGUUCCUGAACUGCAGGGACGUUUUAAGCAGUCUAUGGUUUUCUUGAUGUUUUUAAAAUGACUGUUUGCUGCCUUUGUCUUUUCAUAAAUCAUACCAGCCUUUAUGAAAUGUUCCUUUAUGUGCCAGGAAGCCAUGUGCCUUAACACUGGAUGAAUUAAAUAUAUUUCUUCAUACAUUCUCAUCAUAUUGGUCAGUUAAUUGAGAAGGAUAACAAAUAAAUGAAUCGUUUUUCUUAAUGUUUUUUUAAACAGACACGAUGCAGUA
rnacentral:lncRNA from 8 species